rnacentral:lncRNA from 1 species
AAUGUGGAAUGGAAAUGCAGAAAAUUGUUGUUGCUAGGUCCUAUUAACUAGGAUUCCUCAUACGUGAAAUCAAAUAUUUGAUAAUCAGAUGCGUGAACAUAACAUGUUUAGCAUGAAAACUCAUACUUCAACCAUCAAUUUUCGAAUAGGCAAAAACAUCAACAAAAUAAAUCACAUUAGUAAGCAAUGCCUAAUAGGAUCACAUGCUUUAACCUAAGCAUAUUGUUUGCAUCAGAGAUAAACAUAGAAGAAUAUUCAAACAAAUUCAACAUAAAAGAAGAUUCAAACAAAUUUGGCCAUUAAAUAUGCUAGAUCUAUAGAAUUAGGCAGUAAACAACUUUAAUUUUACUCCCGAUUUCAAUUUAAAACUACAGAGGUGUUUGAACAUACCUACACAGUAGCAAACAAGUCUCAAAAUGACCAAAUAAAGGUUGAGAACAUCUACAACUGAAAUUCAGCUACUAGUUGAUAGAGAACAACAACAAACAACCAGUAAUCAAAGCUGGAUCCACUUCGAAACCCAGAAAUGCAAGAGAGAAUACAACAAUCGAAAAAGCUACAACUUAUGAACUGUUUUGGGUGCAAAGCUAACCUAGAAUUCCACUGUCAUACUCAUUCUUUUCAGAUUGUUUUAGUUUUCAGAUCUAAUAUUGUUUUUUUGAAGUUUUUGUGAGUAAAAUCUCAAUGAAAAUGUAGAAGGAAUAUGUGUAAAAAAUAUAUAGUGUAUCUGAUCAGAGAGUCUAAAAAUCUGUGUGAGAGUCAGUGCAUUUAUAAUAGAAUUUAGGGCAACAACUAGAUUUUUCUAAUUCAUUUUCACCCUUUAAACUUUCUAUUAUUUACCCUUAGAUCCCAAAUUCUGAGUUGAUUCUAUUUUUCUUUUGCAAAGACAACCCUUUUUUCCUUUUCUUAGAAGCUUAUUUUCUAACUAACUAAGAUUUUCUAAACCAAUUCCCUACAUUUCCCUUAGCUACUUCAGCAUUUACCCCUCUUCCAGAUUUUACCUCUUCUCUUGUAUUCAAUUCUCAAUCUCAUUUAAAUCAAACUCUUAAUGGGCCUGUAAUACGGAAUGAGCUAAUUUUGAAAGACCUGGGCUUAUUCCACUAAUACAAACUCAAAAACCAGGCUUGGCCUAAACCAAAUCAAAGCCUACUGCCACUUCUUGCCUAAAUACCAUUACACAAAAGUGGCAAAUACCUAAAUGAUCCACAAAUAAAAAUACUACUCGAUUAAGCAUAAAUUAAACUCUCAAGUAAUUAAACACCACUGAAUCAUCGAGCUUAUAACAAUAAUAUCCAAUUACCCAUAUAGUAUCUAAAAACUCUUCAUAGAAAUGAAAACAUGAUAACUAAACAAGGAAUUUGCAAUUAAAACAACCACUGAACCUAAAGUGACUAAACAAUUAAAUGUGCAAUUCACAGAAAGAUACAAGGGAGAGAUAUACCUAUCGAGGUUGAACAAAUCGAUGAAAGGGAAGCCCACGAGCUGGACGAAUAGGAUGGAAUAAUUGGGGAGCAACUGACCGAUCAAUGAUGUUUCGACCGAAUUCCAAUAGCCAUGAAAUGAACCAAGACUAACAUCAAUCAAUUGCUCUCGUCAAGAGCAAUUAAUUGAUGUAGGUUUUGAGUUCAGGAGGUGGAGAAGGGGAUUGGCGUUCAGAUUGGUUGUGAGUAACAACAACCCUACUCCUCUUUGUUGAAAAUGAGGAAAUUUUAGAUCAUUUUUUCUUACCAUUCUCAUCUCCCGCCUCCGGCUUCUAUGAGAUAACAGAAAAGACCACAAAGAUUUAAUGUAUUGUCGUACAUAUUUAUAUCAUCAAUGAUAAUAAAUCACUUAACAAUAAAUGAAAUAUUUCAAGCUAUAUAUAAACUUAUAGUACAUAAAGAAAUCUUUUUCAUGGUGGAACCAACUAAAAGGCAACUAAAGGUAAUCGGAAUCUGUGUAAGAGUCAGUGUAUUUAUAACAGAAUUUUCAGGGCAAUACCUAGAUUUUUUUAAUUUAUUUCCACCCUUUAAACUUUCUGUUAUUUAUCCUUAGACCCCAAAUUCUGACUUGUUUAUAUUUUUAUUUUGCAGAGACGACCCUUUUUUUCUUUUUCUAGAAGCUUCUUUCUUAACUAACUAAGAUUCCCUAAGUCAAUUCCCUACGUUGCCCUUUACUACUACAGUAUUUACCCCUCAUCCAGAUUUUACCUCUUCUCUUACAUUCAAUUCUCAAUCUCAUUUAAAUCAAACUCAGAAUGGGCCUAUAAUAUGAAAUGGGCUAAUUUUGACAGACCUGGGCCUUGUUCCAAUAAUCCAAACUCAAAACCUGACUUGACCUAAACCAAAUCAAAGCCUAUUGCACUUCCUGCCUAAAUGCCAUUAAACAAAAGUGACAAAUACCUAAAUGAUCCACAAAUAAAAUAACUACUCGAUUAAGAAAAUUAAACUCUCAAGUAAUUAAGCACUGUUGAAUCAUCGAGCUUAUAACAAUAAUAUCCAAUUACCCACAUAGUUUCGAAAAACUCUUCAAAGAAAUGAAACAAGAUAACAAAACAAGGAAUUUGCAAUUAAAACAAACUGAACCUAAAGCGACUAAAUAGUUAAAUGCGCAAUUCACAGAAAGAUACAAGGGAGAGAUAUACCUAUCGAGGUCGAAAAAACGAUGAAAGGGAAGCCCACAAGCUGGAGGAACCUGAUGGAACAAUUGGGGAGCAACCAACCGAUCAAUGAUGUCUCGACGGAAUUCCAAUAGCCGUGAAAUGAACCAAGACUAUUAUCAAUCAAUUGCUCUCAUCAAGAGCAAUUAAUUGAUGUGGGUUUCGAGUUCAAGCGGGAGGGGGGGGGGGGAUUGAGAGAUCCUCACUCGUUCAGAUUAGUUGUGAGUAACAACAACCCUACUCCUCUUUGUUGAGAAUGAUAAAAUUUUAGAUCCUUUUUUCUUAUCAUCCUCAUCUCCGGCCUCCGGCCUCUAUGAGAUAACAAAAAAGAUCAUAAAGAUUUAAUGUAUUGCAAAAUAUAUCUAUAUCAUCAAAGAUAAUAAAUCACUUUACAAUAAAACAAAAAUGAAAUAUUUCAAGCUAUAUAUAGACUUAUAGUACGUAAAGAGAUAUUCUCCACUGUUGAACCAACUAAAAGGCAACUAAAGGUAGCAAGAAUCUGUGUAAGAGUCAGUAUAUUUAUAACAAAAUUUUUAGGGCAAUACCUAAAUUUUUCUAAUUCAUUUUCACCCUUUAAAUUUUCUCUUAUUUACCCUUAGAUCCCAAAUUCUGACCUGUUUCUAUUUUAAUUUUGCAGAGACGACCCUUUUUUUCUUUUCCUAGAAGCUUCUUUCCUAACUAACUAAGAUUCCCUAAGCCAAUUUCCUACAUUUCCCUUCACUACUUCAGUAUUUACCCCUCUUCCAGAUUUUACCUCUUCUCUUACAUUGAAUUCUCAAUCUCAUUAAAUCAAACUCAGAAUGGACAUGUAAUAUGAAAUGGACUAAUUUUGAUAAACCCGGGCCUUGUUCCAUUAAACCAAACUCAAAAUCAGACUUGACCUAAUCCAAAUCAAGGCCUACUGCCACUUCUUGCCUAAAUAUCAUUAAACAAAGGUGACAAAUAUCUAAAUGAUCCAAAAAUAAAAUAACUACUCGAUUAAGUAAUUAAUCUCUCAAGUAACUAAACACCACUGAAUCAUCGAGCUUAUAACAAUAAUAUCCAAUUACCCAUAUAGUUUUGAAAAACUCUUCAAAGAAAUGAAAACAUGAUAAUUAAACAAGGAAUUUGGAAUUAAAAUAAACCGAACCUAGAUCAACUAAACAGUUAAAUGCACAAUUCACAUAAAUAUACAAGGGAGAGAUAUACCUAUCGAGGUCGAACAAAUUGAUGAAAGGGAAGCCCACAAGCUGGAGGAACAUGAUGGAACAAUUGAGGAGCAACCGACCGGUCAAUGAUAUUUUGACCUAAUUCCAAUAGCCGUGAAAUGAACCAAGACUAACAUCAAUCAAUUGCUCUUAUCUAGAGCAAUCAGUUGAUGUAGAUUUCGAGUUCAAGCGGGCCAGAAUUGAUGGGAAAAAUCACAAAGGGAGGAAUUAGGUUUUCUAUAGAUUCUUAGAUCUACUAACAGAGAAAACCUAGGGUUUUUUUCACAAAACUAAUGGUAAGAGAGGUAUGGGGGGAUGAUGGAGAUUAUGUGGUGAUAAUUUAGUGCUAAUUAGUGGUUGGCCGCCGUCGUGGGGCGAUUUUCAGCGGCAACAGAACAGUGAGAAUGAGAGAGAAGGUAUGAGACGGUCUUUAGGGUUG